rnacentral:rRNA from 1 species
AUUGAACGCUGGCGGAAUGCUUUACACAUGCAAGUCGAACGGCAGCACGGACUUCGGUCUGGUGGCGAGUGGCGAACGGGUGAGUAAUAUAUCGGAACGUGCCCAGUCGUGGGGGAUAACGUAGCGAAAGUUACGCUAAUACCGCAUACGCACUGAGGUGGAAAGCAGGGGAUCGCAAGACCUUGCGCUAUACGAGCGGCCGAUGUCAGAUUAGCUAGUUGGUAGGGUAAAGGCCUACCAAGGCGACGAUCUGUAGCGGGUCUGAGAGGAUGAUCCGCCACACUGGGACUGAGACACGGCCCAGACUCCUACGGGAGGCAGCAGUGGGGAAUUUUGGACAAUGGGGGCAACCCUGAUCCAGCCAUGCCGCGUGAGUGAAGAAGGCCUUCGGGUUGUAAAGCUCUUUCGGCCGGGAAGAAAUCGCACAGGCUAAUAUCCUGUGUGGAUGACGGUACCGGCAUAAG